rnacentral:rRNA from 1 species
UCAAAUCANGUAGGACUACCCGCUGAACUUAAGCAUAUCAAUA